rnacentral:rRNA from 1 species
AACGUAGGUACCGAGCGUUAUCCGGAUUUACUGGGCGUAAGCGUGUUCAGGCGGCCUGGCAAGUCGGGCAUGAAAUCUCUCGGCUCAACCGAGAGAGGCUGUCCGAUACUGCUGGGCUUGAGGACGGUAGAGGGUGGUGGAAUUCCGCGUGUAGUGGUGAAAUGCGUAGAUAUGCGGAGGAACACCAGUGGCGAAGGCGGCCACCUGGACCGUCCCUGACGCUCAAACACGAAAGCUAGGUAGCGAACGGG